AUUCAGCUGAUAAGUCCCAAAUAGAACGAAACGCGCUUCCUUGAU
rnacentral:hammerhead_ribozyme from 1 species